rnacentral:rRNA from 1 species
UGGGGAAUUUUGGACAAUGGGGGAAACCCUGAUCCAGCCAUCCCGCGUGUGCGAUGAAGGCCUUCGGGUUGUAAAGCACUUUUUGCAUGAAAGAAACGUCAUGGGUUAAUACCCCGUGAAACUGACGGUACCUGCAGAAUAAGCACCGGCUAACUACGUGCCUGCAUCCGCGGUAAUACGUAGGUUGCAAGCAUUAAUUGGAAUUACUGAGCGUAAAGCGUGCGCAGGCGGUUCGGAAAGAAAGAUGUGAAAUCCCAGAGCUCAACUUUUGAAAUGCAUUUUUAACUACCGGGCUAGAGUGUGUCAGCGGGAGGUGGAAUUCCGCGUGUAGCAGUGAAAUGCGUAGAUAUGCGGAGGAACACAGAUGGCGUAGGCAGCCUCCUGGGAUAACACUAACGCUCACGCACGAGAGCCUGGGGAGCAAACAGG